rnacentral:lncRNA from 1 species
GCUGAUAUUCUACAAAUGUGAGGUCACGAGAUUAAAUGAUUGGUCCCGGCCGAUAACUCCUAAGAAAGAUCGCCUACACCUGUUGGUAUGUCUGGAAAGCUUGAAAUGCAGUAACUUUCAUCCAUAAAUCACCAGAUACUGAAAACUGCCACUUGCACAAGUUAGAAAAGCUCUUUUGGAGUGUGUUGCCGGUAACAAUGUAAGCUAAUUCAUGAUUGGGUGGAUGAAAGGCAUGGGGUGUGGAGUAAACUUGAGCUAGGUUUCAUGAAAAUUAACUGUGACAGAUUUUACAUAACAUGCCAUUGUUGGUAUUGAGGCCAGAAAUGAAACAGGGGAUAUGGUUGCCUGUAGAGGGGGCUGAAUUAUUUGUUGCUCGAAAGAGCAUUGCAGUGGCUAAAGAAAAAAGCUGGCCCAAGGCAGGAGAAUAGAUGGAUGCAGCUAUGGCAUACAAGAAUAUCACCAACCUUCACAAGCAGUGCGAUUGGAGACUAAGGGCAGCUCUUGUUGGGAUUCAAGCAACUAUAUAUCAUUCUUUCAGCAAGUGUUUGUGCCCAUUGGGUAACUUUGCAUAUGUGCGAUUGAAAUUGGGGUGACCCCCCCCCCCCCCCCCCCCCGCUCCCAUGGGGAAAGAAUUAAUUCUGUAUUAAGCAUCGCAUCGAAGAAAAAGAAGUGAAAUUGAUGCCUUCAAGACCAAAAACUCACCUGAACCGUAAUAAAACUGACUGCACAUCGAAGGAUGAAUUGUAGCAGUUAGCAAAUGAAAGCGAAAGUGGAUCAAUUUCACUUCAUUGGAUCCAAACCCAAUCAAUGCGUAUGUCAGGGAUUUCUUGGAUUUUCCAGAAAGUAACGUGAAACAUCUACAUGGGAAAGUAUCAAUUUGCAUUCAGCAUCAAAUUGAGGAAGCAGAAUGGAUAUAGAUGCCUUCAAAACCAAAAACUUACCUGAACCCUAAGAAAACUCACUGUACAUGGACAAAUCAAUUCAUUGGAUUUGAAAGCCCUUGAUGCGGAUGAGAGGGAUCUCUUGGAUGAGGGGCCAAUAGUCACGUCUGUAAAAUAUCAACCACCUACUCAACCAACUGCAACCAAAAAUGAACAAGAAGACAUGACAGGGUACUUCCCAUUCCAAGUCUAAAAAAUGUGAUCGUUAUGGUUAUUUUGUUUUUUCUAAAUGGCCCUUGAGAUUCUGCUAACACAGAACUAUGGGGGACUACUGAUCACCAGUGAUUAUGGCCUAAUGCUACAAGUUGAUAUUCUACAGACAUGAGGAUAACCCACUAACGAUGACAGUGCCUGUAUCUUGCCUUGUCCGUGACGGGAGCUCUGGCAGCUUGGUGGGGUUAUAGUGACAAGACUUGCCUACCCAAAAUAAUUGGUUGCGAAUGGUCUUGGAAGGCCAUCUUCUCACAAGCUUAAAUCAAAAUACAUUGUGGCAAACGCAAGGCUUUAAUGAUGACUUAACAGAGUGGCAAAGCAUAGUCUCCCUGAUUGCUCCUCUCUGCCUUUCCUUGACAACAAAGAAGAAGAAAAUUUGCUCUGAACUGGUGCAGGAAUUUGAAUAGAAGAAAGAUGAACUAUGAACUUUGACAAGGAAGUCAUAUUUAAAUGGAUUAUAAUCUGCAGGUUCAUUCAAUUUGAUUUUCCAUAUUCACCAACUUGAAAACACUUGUUUUAAAUCCUAUUUUUUUGCAUCUUUACAAAUAGCUGAUGUUGCUGGAAGUAAGAAACCUUCUUCAUUUGACUUUGAAUAUGGACCUUAAUAAUUGACAUAAUGAUACAGAUUAAUCUUUUGGAACAGGUCUCCAGAAAAAUAGUUUAGAGAAUAUCACUACAUCUAUUAAAAUAAAUAGCCUUUUCUUGUCAAGUUGCAGAAGAUGAACAUAAGCACAUCAUUUGCCUACCUCAACAGUGUUUGCAUUUGAUCCUCCUGAGAGAAUUUGCCAAAUAAAGAUGACAGUGGGGAAAUUCUGCAAAACAAGCACAAUUGAGAGAAUUCAGGUCACUGAGCUAGGGCAUAAAAAAAAAAAAAAUUGGAAGAGAAAACAUAACAAAUGCUGAAAUUGCAGAAAAAUAUUAAUAUAAGAGCAACAAUUCUUCACGGUUCUCAUGCGAAGCAUGGUGCAUUUCCAUAAGUGGAAAGAUAAGCAAUAGUUGGGCAUCAAACAAAGUUCAAGAUAUAUCAUCAAUCCAGACAGGCACAUCCAUGCAUCACAAUUCCAGCACCAUGAGCAAGUCCAUGUAAGUAUCAUUUUUCUUGAGGAAUAGUCACUCGUAUGAAACUAUGGUGGACAAGCUGUACCCUAUUAGCAUUAUAACCAUUUCAUUGUGUGUUUCCUUAUCAAACAAAACAGAGCAACCCAAAUGUCUAGCUGGUUUGUGGCAAAUAAUGUGAAGCUUGGCCAUGGAAAAACACGAACUUUUUAGCAUCGAGUUGAGGAUUCGUAAUAUAUGGAGCAGAAGCAGUAGCUAAACGACGAGUGCGGAAGAAAGAGGUAUGAACCAUCACCUGAAGAAUAAAAAUUAGACAUUGGAGAGAUAUCUUCUUAUACAAGUACCGGUAACCUAUAAAGGAUAGCUGUUUGAGAGAGGAGAGAUAGCUGCAAAGACUUAAUCUUUCCACAUUCCUCAUAUUUCUCAUCCAAAGAGAAAUUAGAGAUGAAGGAAACAGAAUGUGAGGUCAGGAGGUCAAAUGACUUGAUACGAGCUGAUAACGCUAAAGAAUGAUUGGCUACACCUAUUGUUAUAUCUGGAAUGCUUGAAAUGUAGUAAACUUUAACAAUAAAUCACCUGAUCCUGAAACUGUCACUUUCACAUUUUAGAAAAGCUCUUUAGACUGUAUAGCUUUUAAAAUGCAAGAGCACUAAGUCAUGAUUGGGUGAAUGAAGGCAGGGUGUGGAGAGUAAACCUGAGUUAGGCUUUGUGAAGAUUAACUAUUAUGGGUCUUCUAUUGAAGGAACCAAACAUGCUGUUGUUAGGAUUGUGGCGUGAGAUGAAACAGGGGAGAUGAUUGCCUGCAAGGGUGUUGUGGUGCAAGCUAGAUCUGCAAAGGAGGCUGAAACACUUGCUGCUCAAAAAGCAUUGCAGUAGCCAAAUAAAAAGCUGAACCAAGGUAGUAGUGGACUAGAUGGAGCUUUGGUAUACAAGGAUAUCAUCAAUUUUCCCAAGCAGUGCAAUUAAAGACUAAAGGAUGCUCGUACUAGGAUUCAAGAAGCUAUAGAUCAUUUUGCAGCGCCGAAUUUUAGUUGUAUUUCACGAAAAGCAAAUGCUUGUGCCCAUUAGGUGGCUUUGCCAAAAUUGAGAUCUACAUCUGCAUCUCCCACCCUUCUUAUCACAUAUGCUUAUUUCAACCGUGAGCGGCUGGCCUAGAAAGAAAAAACCCCAUCAAGGACACACACAACCCGCCCGAAUGUCAGUCUCUGACCUUCAGUCGCUGGUUUUUGGAAAUUCUACGAGAAACAUCUCCACAGGAAAAAUCAAUCCGUAUUAGGCAUCAAACUGAAGAACAUAAUAUAAAUUGAUGCCUUCAAAAACAAAAACUGACCCCAACCCCAGAAAGUUGCCUUUAGGUGGAACAACGAAUUGCGGCGGAUAGCAAAUGGAAGGGAAAGAAUGAAAGAACUUAUAAGAAUUACCUAAAGAAGGAAAAGUAGUCAGCGGAGAUAAAUCUUUUGUCAUGCCUCUGGUGUGAUCAAUUUCAAUUCAUAGGAUCCAAACACCAACAAUGUAGAUGAGAGGGAUCUCUUGGAUGAGGGGCCAAUAGUCGCCAGUGAGUUUUGAGCAUCAAUCUUUUGGAAUCUCACAUAUAGAUAUCUCCAGAAUUUGGACAAAUCAUAGUCUUCCUUAUUGCUCCUUUCUACCUUUCCUUGAUAACAAAGAAAAAGAAAAAUAUGCUCUAAUAUGGCGUGGGAAUAUGAAUAGAAAGAUGAACCGUGAACUUUGACAAGGAAAGCAAAUUUCAAUGGCUUAUAAUCUACAAGGUUCAUUCAAAUUUAGUUGUCACAUUUGCCAACUCGAUCACACCUGUUUAAAAUCCUAUUUUUUGCAUCUUUAUAGAAGCAGCUGUUGUUGGAAGUAAGAAAGCUUCUUCGUUUGACUAUGAAUAUAGACCUCGGUAAUUGACAUUGUGAUAUAGAUUAAUCUUUGAGAGCAUGUCGCCAAAAGAAAAAAACAGUUUAGAGCAUAGUAGUACUCCUACCAAUAAUAAAUAGCAUUUUGUUCUUCUUUUGUCAAGUUGCAACAAAUGAACAUAAGCACAUCAUUUGCCUAACUCAGCACUGUUUGCAUUUGAUCCUCCUGAGAAAUUUUGCCAAAUAAAGAUGAUAGUGGGAUAUUCUGCAAAACAAUCAUAGUCGAGAGAAUUCAAGUCAGUGAGCUAGGAUAUAAAAAAUUAAAAAGAAAAAGAUAAUUGGAAGAGAAAACAUAACAAACACUGAAGUUGUGGGAAAAAUAACAAUAUAAGAGCAACAAUUCUUCACAAUUCUCACGUAAAGCAUAGUGCAUUUCCAUAAGUGGAAAGAUAAGCAAUUUUUGGCCAUCAAACAGUUUAAGAUAUAUCAUAAAUACGGACAAGCACAUACACACAUCAUUAUUCUUGCACUGUAAACAAGUCCAUGUAUGUAUUUUUUGUUUUGAUGAAUAGUCACUUGUAAGAAGCAAUGGUUGGUUGACUUGCUGUACCACAUUAGAAUUAUAACCAUUUCAUUGCGUGCUUCCUUGUCAAACAAAACAGAGCAACCCAAAUGUCAACAUUGGACCUUCAGCAGCAGGUUUGUGGAAAUUUAGGUGAAGUUUGUCCAUGGAAAAAUAUGAACUUUUUAGCAUUGAAUUGAGGAUUUGAAAUAGAAAUGGAUCCUGAAGCAGCAGCAGUAGCUAAACAAUAAGUGUGCAAGAAAGAAAGAAGUCCAAAUCAUUACCUGAAAAGCAAAGUUUAGAAAUUGGAUAGAUAUCUUCUUAUUGGAUCUGAACUCAACCAACUACGAUGAGCAGGAUUUCUCGGAUGAGGUGCCAAUAGUUGCCACUGAGUUUUGAGCAUCAUUCUUUCAUAAUUUUACGGUGAAUUAUGCUGAAUACUUGGAGGAGGGAAUGAAGCCAUCCUCUGGCAAGUUCCAUUAAACUAUAAAAUGUAGCUGUUCGAAAGUGGAGAGAUGACUGCGAAGACCACUUGAUAAUCUUUCCAUGUUCCUCAUAUUUCUCAUCCAAAGAGAGGUAGAGAUCAAGGAAACAGAAUACUCUGCACUUCUUACAUCCUGCACUAUUGAUAUUCUUUCCACAUUCCUCAUGUUUAUCAUCCAAACAUCUGAAACAGGACUAUCAAUUAGUCCUGAAUAAAAAUAAAGUUUCCUGCUUAGAGUGAUCAGAACAGAAUUAUAUGCAUACCCAAUUGACAACAACAAAAAAUGAACCGGGAUACCCUCUUGAUAACUUUUUUUUUUUCGCUGAAAAAUUCUUGUGAUUUUGUUAACUUACAAGUACAGGAGGCCACCAAUCACGAGUGACGGUGACUUGUUGGCACGGGCUGAUAUUCUACAAAUGUGAGGUCAUGAAAUUGAAUGAUUGGUACAGGCUGAUAACUCCUAAGAAUGAUUGCCUAGACUUGUUGGUAUAUUUGGAGUGUGUUGCCGAUAAAAAUGUAAGCUGAGUCAUGAUAAGGUGGAUGAAAGGCAAGGUGUGUGGAGUAAACCUGAGCUAGGUUUCAUGAAGAUUAACUGAGGCGGGGUCUUACAUAACAUGCC